rnacentral:lncRNA from 1 species
GGGGCUGGCAGGGCUCGGGGAGGCGCAGCCAGGAGCAAACGGGGCAGAGCCCACGGCUGGACCUGCCUGGGGCGGGGUUGGGCUGAGCCCCCCGAGCUCCGCCUGACAGAAAUGUGCCCCCGGGGUCUGUGUGCGCAGGGGGCUGCCCGAGUGCUGUGUUGCAGGGGGAAGCCAGAGGCCGUGUGGUGCCUCCGAGGGCAGAGCCUCCCCUUGGGGUCCAGCUAGAGGCUACCACGACCCUCUGCUGUCACAGGGGCAGAAGUCCCCAGUCCUUGAAUCUUAUCCAGGCAGAGAACCGCUUUCCUGCAGCCUCCAGCCCGUCUUGCUCCGCUGAGAAGCUUGGCUCUUCAGGAGCAGUCCCAGCAGAAACAGAUGCACGCACAGCAGAUUAUUUGUAGCAAGGCUCUACAUGCAGAACAGAUUUAGAAUCACAGAAGUUGCCUUGGCAGGAUGAGAACUCUCCCCAGGAGUGUGGGUUUGUUCUCCCUUCUGCUCCCCAUGGCAGCGCUGCAGUUCCCGGGCUGGACCAAGAGGAAAGGCGCCCACCUGCCCUGGUGAUUCCAGAGCUAAGGGCAGCAAGGUUGCUGCCUCCUUUCAGCUGCUGUUCACACCUCCACGCUCGCCUUCCCGAGGUUUGGCUGUGUGCUGCUCCCAGAUCAUUGUUUCCUCUCUGCUCCUGUUGACGCCUUUACAUCCAAUUUACCAUUCUGGAUCCCCGAUCCCGUUCUGGCAGCACUCUGAGCAGGGGGCUGCGGCACCGCGGGCGCUGCGCUGGGAGGGCUCGGGGAGUUCGCUCUGAGGUGCUCCAGGAGUGCUGUUUUCAUGAGAGGCAGCCAGCACCGUCAUCGUUAACAGCCCUCCUCCCCGGCUGAAAGCAUCGGGGCAUCCUUUUUGUCUCCGAGUUUUCCAGAGGAAUGAAAAUUGAAUAAAAGAUCAAAGUUCAGUGAACAAGAGAGCAGAGUAUUUCUGGAACGCCCGCGAGCAGUGAUUGCUUCCAGCCCAGCGCGCUGGGCGGCGCGGGCAGCGGGAGGGGAGCUGCCAGCCUGCGGCAAGCGGGGCCCCAACCCGACCCGCACGACGCUCACCGGGGAAGGUCUGCGCCGUGUAACGGAGGAAUCAUCGCUGCCCCCGGGUGAUCUGUCAGAAACCAAGAU